rnacentral:rRNA from 1 species
AGCGAACAGACAAGGAGCUUGCUCCUUUGACGUUAGCGGCGGACGGGUGAGUAACACGUGGGUAACCUACCUAUAAGACUGGGAUAACUUCGGGAAACCGGAGCUAAUACUGGAUAAUAUUUCGAACCGCAUGGUUCGAUAGUGAAAGAUGGUUUUGCUAUCACUUAUAGAUGGACCCGCGCCGUAUUAGCUAGUUGGUAAGGUAACGGCUUACCAAGGCGACGAUACGUAGCCGACCUGAGAGGGUGAUCGGCCACACUGGAACUGAGACACGGUCCAGACUCCUACGGGAGGCAGCAGUAGGGAAUCUUCCGCAAUGGGCGAAAGCCUGACGGAGCAACGCCGCGUGAGUGAUGAAGGUCUUCGGAUCGUAAAACUCUGUUAUUAGGGAAGAACAUACGUGUAAGUAACUAUGCACGUCUUGACGGUACCUAAUCAGAAAGCCACGGCUAACUACGUGCCAGCAGCCGCGGUAAUACGUAGGUGGCAAGCGUUAUCCGGAAUUAUUGGGCGUAAAGCGCGCGUAGGCGGUUUUUUAAGUCUGAUGUGAAAGCCCACGGCUCAACCGUGGAGGGUCAUUGGAAACUGGAAAACUUGAGUGCAGAAGAGGAAAGUGGAAUUCCAUGUGUAGCG